rnacentral:pre_miRNA from 1 species
CUCUAAUUUCAUAUUCAUCCGCUUUUGGUCCCUCAUUUCACGUAUCACGCACACAUAUUCUUUUGACGUGGUGAAAUGAGGGACCAAAAGUGGAAGAAUAUGAAAUUACAG